rnacentral:tRNA from 1 species
CUUGUUCCAGUCUGCUCAUGGUGGAGCACCGCGCUAACCACGCGGCGUGGCGGGUUCGAUUCCCGCAAACAACC